UGAAGAGAAUUGAUAUUAAUGAUUAUUAGAUGAACACUUUUGAGAAGUAGAUCUUGAGUUUCAGCUAAUUGUCAUUUGCAGGGAUUCCCUUAUCAGACCACCAUCGAGGACCAUUUCACUGCCAUACAGGCUGAAUAUGGGAAGGUUACAGAGCUUCUUUCCUGUAACCGGGUGGAAACCAUCAUGGAGCCACUUGAGGAUUAUGUGCAAACCUUUAAAAAGGUGUCCUGCACGUUCCUGCAUGUGGCUAAAGAUGGUCAGGUGAACACCUCCACCUGGGAGCAGGAGCAGGUUGACUCUCCCCACAGUGAUUCAGAGGAACAGUACGACUCUGAGG